CCUGCUGAGCCGGCUGGCUCGGCCUCGGGAGGGGCUCAGAAUGACGAGGGAGAUCCAUCCCCUCGCGUGGCUUCACCUGUCACCGAGCACAGCCAAACUCCUUCCUCUUCACCUGUGAGCUAGGGCCAUCUGCUGUCUCUGGCAUUGGCUGGUUGUUCCUGGUGACCUCUGGAUUUCUUGGAGGUGCAAGAAGAGUCCUGGGUGGGAGCCUGGAUUUUCCUGGAGCAACAGUCCUCAGAAUGAAUAUUGACUACACAUGCUGUGUUGAAAUGUUCAAGUCCCAGUAUAUGCAGGUGCCUUUCUCUCCAUAGAGAGGAGACACAAAAAGCAAAGGACAAACACAUCAGAGAGACACCUGAACCUUGAAAAUUUUUCUCUUCUUAAGUGGAACAUGUGAUCAAGACAGAGUCCCACCACCAAAAGUCCUGCUUUACCUGGGAGGAUGAGUUACCUUGCCCCGGCCUGUGCUUUCCUGUCUCCUUUGAAGGUGCCCCAGCCGCCCAGCUGCUGGACUCAGUCCCCUCCCAUGUGUGGCCCAUGACGACUCGUCCUCUCCCCUUCACCAAGACCCCUUGAUUUGUCCCUCGACAGGGAAAUUUGAAGAUAAAUUUGUAGGGCUCAGAGAUGCUGCGGAACCCCAUGAGGCAUCUGGAAGAAGAAUGGCAACUUCUUUAUCUGAACUCCUCAAAAGGAGAGCAGUGUGAGGAAAAAGUGCUUGCUACCAGUUACUCCACAACAAUGCAGGUGUCUAAUUCCUCAGACGGCAACUUCUCUCAGCUGCUUCAGGCCUCUGUAACAGGAACCAUUCAGUGUACAACAAGCAGUGAUCCAGCAGGCCAUGUGAAGAGCUGCCCUGGGUCUGGGAGGAAGUCCCUAGCAGGACAAUUCCCGUGUCAGCUGUGGCAUCUUGGGCGGUCAUCUGCAUGGCAGAGCGACAUGGGGUCAUCAGACACCCAGCAUGAGGUCUUCCUGCGGUCUUCCCGUGAGGGCCUUUGACAAGGACCCUCCAGUCUAGAGAGUGUGCCUCCUUUAUCCACCGAUCUUAAGGCGCAGGUAAAGCGUCAGGCCCACCGUCUGUACACUCAGUAGAGUCCUUUGGUGGCAUUUUCCCACAAAGAACAACUGUAACAAAAGUCCAACAGUUACUGAAGAGAAAUACUGAGAACGUCAAGAAGCAGGUGCCAAGCCGAACAUAGAUAUGCUUACCACGUCUAAGGGCCCUUUCCUCCUAGACAGCCUUGGCACCUGGCCUGUUCCAAUUUCCAGGUGGAAGCCAAGUCUCUUCAGCUGCCUCUCUCCUGCCCUAACUUAACCUUCUGUACUCUGUUGUCACUCAGUAAAUACAACUGCCACUUUCCCGACACUAGUUACUGGGGAAACAUGAUCUCGAUAAACUCCCAGAACACUUGUGUUUAGCAUAGUAUAUUUUGGGAUGGUUUUUAAUGUGUGUUGUGUGUUGGGGUGUGUAUACACAUGAGUGCAGUUGCUCAUGCAGGACAGUCAUUGGAUUCCCCUGUUGAUGGAGUUACAGGAGAUUGUGAGAUGCCAAAUAUGGGUCCUGGGAAGUGAACUCAGAUCCUCAGCAAGAGCAACCAGGACUCUUAACUGCUGAGUCAUCUCUCCAGUCCUACCUAGUAUUCUAUUAAUAACAAUAAAUAAUAACAGACAAGACUUCUUAGUUACCAAGAGAGAAGUGAAAUAAGAAUAGAUUUUUUUUCUACCUGUUAAUUUUUCAUUUGUUAAUUUUUGAGGUGAAAAACACAUGUGGGUUGUCACUAUAGGCAGCACUGGAUAAAGCUUUGCUUGAUAAGAGUGAUUCUGACCAUGGGCUUUGUGCUAAAGAGCUCCUGGAGAGAGUUACUAUCAUUUUCAUCCAAGUCAGAAAUAAAACACUUGGAACUAAGAAAACAGACAUAACCUACCACAUUCUCGGCACUGUAAUGAGCAAUGCCUGGUUCUAAAACUUCCCUAAAGCUGACUUGCUGGAAAGAUGAUGCCAUUUCUUUUGAGAACUCACAAAUGGGAAUAUACACUUUUUAUGACCUUUUGUAAAUUUCGAUUUUUAUCAAUAAAAGAGGGCAAGAAAAGGAGUCUUCCUAGUGCCUGGCUCAGUGCUGAGAAGGCCAACCCUUCUUGGUAUCUAUGGAGAAGCUCCCUGUGAGGAGCUGGCCUCCAGGACAGGACGCUAGGUGGGUAAGCUUUUCUGCAGCUUCCAGGAGUUCCUGAACUAGGAUGGUGUGGGCACUUGUGUUGCAUCUAUGUUGGGUGACAGAGAAGAGAGAAAUACGGAGACCCACAUAAGGGAAAAACGUUGAGAAGAGUCAAGUUAGAAGUGGCUCUGAGUGGAGCUAGUGUGUCAUUUUCUCUCUGCGGGCUUGUUGGCUUUACAGACUUUCAUGGAGCACAUGUUUAGUUCCUCCACACUACUAAAGUAAUGGGGACCCUGCGGUGAGAUGGAGCUAGUUGCUUGAAAGCAACUGGUCACCAUUGCUUUCCUGCAAACUUGUACCUUUCCCAUAGCCCCCAUUCACCAAGGUGGAGGGGAGUCCUCUAAGGGGCUUUCCCAGACCUCAAAAGGCAAGGCCUGACUUCAAUUCACCUCUUUUAACAAUUUCGGAGACAUUAAAAUAACUUCCGUAAUUUACAUGCAUUUUAUUUUUAUUUUUUCCUUUCCAUUCUACCACUUUGUAGAAUUUACCCUAUGAAACACAAGAAUGCACAAAUGUAUUUCAAAAUUCAAAGGUCCUCUGAUUAGAGUUAUCUUGUACACAGGAGAGUAACUGCUGUUCAUGGCUGGAGUUCUUCAGAGAGCUGGAAGCUUGGUUUGCAUAGAUGCUUUAUAGGUGAUAGAUCUGAAUGCUGUUUUCUGAUGGUUGAGUAAUGGCCCUAGGUGUGGGGCCCAUGUUAGCCAGAACACAAAACCCCCAGAUUUGCCUGUGGAGAUGAAGGUGCAAAGAAAAGGAAGAGACUUCAGGGAAAGGAGGCGGCAGCAACUCUGGAUACUCAGCCUUCAGGUGGCCACAACUUUACCUGGAGGGAUUUUGUUUUUUUGUUUUUGUUUGUUUGUUUGUUUUGUCUUUUUGUAAGUGGAUAACUUGGAUUCACCUGCUUCCCUCCCCAGGGAUUUUCUCUUUUAUCCAGAACUUCAAGAUCCCAUGAAAGUCUGUAGAUAUAUAAUAUCCUUACAGUCACUUGAUGGAAAUAUUCUCAUCACCUCCAGGAGGGUGUUUUCACUUCCCCAAACUUGUCACAUUUGACAUUAAUCUUAAAAGCCCAUUAUAUAGUCACCCUCCUUCCUCUGACCUGCAGUGACACCAUAUCUUCUCUCAAAUCAAAUCCAGACUUCAGAACCCUAUGGCAAAGGGCUGAGAAAAUGCCAACAGAUAUGGUUGAAUGACUUUCUGCCAUGUUCCUGUCAGCAUGCUCUACAUUAACAUGCUGUUCUUAAUCACCCCAAAACCUGAGGACUCUGUGGGAAUUAGGAGUGACGCUUGAAAACCAAGUAUGGUCAUCUCCUCCUCAACACUUUAAGAUAAUCCUGUUGGAACAGCUUGAGUGGAUCAUCACCUAAGAUGAAAAGCAAGCACAUGACUGAGGGAGCAUCCCAUUCCUUGAUCCAGCAUGGACAAGAAGCAUGAAAGGAAAUGGAGUCUACUUUAGCUAGGCUAGCUAGGCACCUCUGUAAUCCCAGUUGAGGCAGGAAGAUCACAAGUUUGAGAUCAAAGUGAGCUACAUAGUGAAUUUUCUUUCACAACUUAAGCCUCCCAAAACAUAAAACAAAACAAAAACACUCAACCUAAAUGACUACAAAAGGCAGCAUCUCCCCUUAAGCCUCAGAGCUUUGGGGGUCAUCGGUUGCUGCAGUCAAAUCUGGCCUAUAUGCAUGCACCAUGGUCAUCUACCCACAUAGCUUUGAUAUCUACCCUUGCGCCUUGGGCCUUACCGUUGCCCUUCCCGCUCUCAAUACCUGAUGCUUCUUGAAUUGUGAAUUUAAAUGCUUGCUGGACUUCUGAAGGGCAGUGUGGUGGUUUGAAUUCUAAUUGCCCCCAUAGGCUCGAAUGUUUGAAUGCUUGGUCUCUAGCUAGUGGAGCUGUUUGGAAAGGUUUAAGUGGUGUGGCCUUGUUGGAGAAGGUGUGACCUUAUUGAAGGUUGUGUUAUUGGGGGUCAGCUUUGAGGUCUGAUUUAUUAUUAUUGUUAUUAUUAUUAUUAUUUACAAUUUAUUCACUUUGUACCCCAGUUGUAGCCUCUGGGUCCCACCUUCUCUCCCUCUUCCUCCCCUCCCCCUCUUCCCUAGUCCACUUGUAGGGGAGUUCUCCUCCCUACUGCCUGACUGUACGGGAGGAACUUUAAGGUUUUAAAAGCCCAGGGCAGGCCUAGUUUCUCUGUCUUCAGAACAGAUGUGAGCUCUCAGCUGCUUUUCCAGCACCGUGCUUGCAUGCCUGCCUCCAUGUUUCCUGCCAUUAUCAUGACUUACCUUCUGAACUGCAAGCAAGCCCCCAAUGAAAUACCCUCCUCUUAAGUUACCUAGGUCCUGCGGUUUCCUCACAGCAACAGGACAGUAACUAAGACAGCCAGCCGGGCCUGACCAUUUCCCAUGUCCUGGUGAGGGUCAGAUUACACAGUUCCACCACAUUCCUUGGUUAAUUUUAGAUGCCGCCAUCCUGCCAUGUACCCCAGUUAUUUUCUGACUCCACCACCUAACUACAUCCCCAGGUGAUAUUCUGAUUCCCCAGGGCAUCUGUGUGCUCCCUCCAACAAUUUCUCAGCAUUGAUAUUUACAGAAAAAUAAUAAACAUAAUCCACAAUGGCGCCUGUAUCGACCCCCAGAUUCCACUGACAUUUAGGAAUAAGUGAUGGAUUGCCUUUUUUCGAGGCUGGCUGAACUGACCUGCGUGGCCUGUACAUAAUUUACUUUUGAUUAAAGGAGUGCUUCAACAUCUAGAUGCUGUUUGGGAGCAGGAGGCAGGAUCGAUACGUGUAUGACACAAACUUUCAAGCAAUGGACUGAGUGAGAAGUCUCUGUAGUCCAUUCACCUGGGGGGAGGAGGGAGAGCAUGGGGAGGGCGGCUGGGAUCCACUGUGGCACAAGAAGCUUUGCCUUAAGCAGAUUUGGGCCUGUGCUGUUGGGGAGGACAGACUGCUGAGAGCUGGGAGUGCUCCCUGGCUCAGGUACAGGAAGAAGAGUACCAGCAGCUGCCCAGGAAGAGGCAGCCUUCGAGGAUGGCAUUCUCCUCCCUUCCUUUUUCCUCUUGUCGCUCACCCUCCCAGAAGAAUAACUAUCUUUCAGACUGCUCAUCGCUUGAUUUCAAACUGGGCGCUUUUAGAAGAAAGAGGAUACCAUGCUCUGUUAGGCCACGCUCGCUGCUUCCUGGGGACAGCAAACCUCACACUGUUUUGUGUCGGCUCCUUUGGCUUCUGCCUCUGCACAGGGUACUGUGCUCCCUGCUGUAGAGAUGAAUUUCCCAGAUGUCUUCAUUGAGGGAAACUCUGCUUUUCUUCUUACUGAUAUAUCUCUGUCUGGCUACAGGGUAACUCUAUCUCAUUCAGUGUUCACAUAGAGCAGCGUGAGCCCGUGUGGUGCCUAGGACUGAACGUAGGUCCUCCGCAAAAGCAGUUGUGCUCUAACCACUGAGCCAUCUCUCCAGCUCCCAAACCUCCACUCAAUGCUGCAGAGGCACUGGCAGAGAAUAUUGUGUGAAAAGGUAGAUCUAGUCUCUGUCUUUGUGGGACUUGAAGCCUAUCAGAGAAGGGGAAAUGGGCUUUACUGAACUAUAAUGCUUUCAGAGGACAGCGACUGGCAGUUGGCAUGUACUGUGGGAUUUUGAGCAUGUAGAUUGGGUGUGUACAUUGAAUACCUUGUCUCCUUAGCCUUUCCAUAAAACGUCUCUAAGAACUCUAUCAAAAAUGAAAACCGAAUGUUAAGUUUCUCCUCUGAUCAAAUGCUCCACUCACAAUAAUUCCGUGCUUUACAUAUUUCUUUAUAUAUUACUGAAUUUAAAUGCUAGUACUUUCUUGAUAAUCCUGAGAAACCUCAGCUUCAAAACCAGAGUUUGCACAAGCACUAUGGGAUGAUGCUCCCCAGAUACCUGAGGCUCUUUGCUCUUUCUGGGCUUCACCCCUGCCUCUCCCUGAAGUAGCAUGUCUAUCUGCCUGUCUCUCCCUUUGUCCACUGAAAUGCUGUCUCCCUAUCCAGGCCUGUCUGCAAUACCACACUGGUGGUGUGGUUUCUCUGCCCAUUCCAGAAUGUUCUGACUGCCAACUUCCCAGGGCUUUUGUGCAGCCUGAUCACUCAGCUUGUCUGCAUUUGCUCAUUUGCAUUAUUUCUGCCUCUAAGUCUUGUGCAGAUUGGGGUAAUAUGUCACACACCUAAAACAGCUGCUACGUUUCUCUUCCUUCCUUUUCUUGUUACUCUGCUGUGCUUCUUUGUUACUUGUUUGCUUAAUUCUUGCUCCCCAACCUGUUAUUUUCCUUUCAAAACUGAGCUCUCUUAAAUAGCCAGCAUUACUUCCCAGAAUGCAUUACAUAGUGCCUGGGAUCUGUACUAAAAUAAAAUCUAUAAUCAUAUUA